rnacentral:rRNA from 2 species
GGGUUGUGAGGUUAAGCGACUAAGCGUACACGGUGGAUGCCCUGGCAGUCAGAGGCGAUGAAGGACGUGCUAAUCUGCGAUAAGCGUCGGUAAGGUGAUAUGAACCGUUAUAACCGGCGAUUUCCGAAUGGGGAAACCCAGUGUGAUUCGUCACACUAUCAUUAACUGAAUCCAUAGGUUAAUGAGGCGAACCGGGGGAACUGAAACAUCUAAGUACCCCGAGGAAAAGAAAUCAACCGAGAUUCCCCCAGUAGCGGCGAGCGAACGGGGAGCAGCCCAGAGCCUGAAUCAGUGUGUGUGUUAGUGGAAGCGUCUGGAAAGGCGCGCGAUACAGGGUGACAGCCCCGUACACAAAAAUGCACAUACUGUGAGCUCGAUGAGUAGGGCGGGACACGUGGUAUCCUGUCUGAAUAUGGGGGGACCAUCCUCCAAGGCUAAAUACUCCUGACUGACCGAUAGUGAACCAGUACCGUGAGGGAAAGGCGAAAAGAACCCCGGCGAGGGGAGUGAAAAAGAACCUGAAACCGUGUACGUACAAGCAGUGGGAGCACGCUUAGGCGUGUGACUGCGUACCUUUUGUAUAAUGGGUCAGCGACUUAUAUUCUGUAGCAAGGUUAACCGAAUAGGGGAGCCGAAGGGAAACCGAGUCUUAACUGGGCGUUAAGUUGCAGGGUAUAGACCCGAAACCCGGUGAUCUAGCCAUGGGCAGGUUGAAGGUUGGGUAACACUAACUGGAGGACCGAACCGACUAAUGUUGAAAAAUUAGCGGAUGACUUGUGGCUGGGGGUGAAAGGCCAAUCAAACCGGGAGAUAGCUGGUUCUCCCCGAAAGCUAUUUAGGUAGCGCCUCGUGAAUUCAUCUCCGGGGGUAGAGCACUGUUUCGGCAAGGGGGUCAUCCCGACUUACCAACCCGAUGCAAACUGCGAAUACCGGAGAAUGUUAUCACGGGAGACACACGGCGGGUGCUAACGUCCGUCGUGAAGAGGGAAACAACCCAGACCGCCAGCUAAGGUCCCAAAGUCAUGGUUAAGUGGGAAACGAUGUGGGAAGGCCCAGACAGCCAGGAUGUUGGCUUAGAAGCAGCCAUCAUUUAAAGAAAGCGUAAUAGCUCACUGGUCGAGUCGGCCUGCGCGGAAGAUGUAACGGGGCUAAACCAUGCACCGAAGCUGCGGCAGCGACGCUGAUGCGUUGUUGGGUAGGGGAGCGUUCUGUAAGCCUGCGAAGGUGUGCUGUGAGGCAUGCUGGAGGUAUCAGAAGUGCGAAUGCUGACAUAAGUAACGAUAAAGCGGGUGAAAAGCCCGCUCGCCGGAAGACCAAGGGUUCCUGUCCAACGUUAAUCGGGGCAGGGUGAGUCGACCCCUAAGGCGAGGCCGAAAGGCGUAGUCGAUGGGAAACAGGUUAAUAUUCCUGUACUUGGUGUUACUGCGAAGGGGGGACGGAGAAGGCUAUGUUGGCCGGGCGACGGUUGUCCCGGUUUAAGCGUGUAGGCUGGUUUUCCAGGCAAAUCCGGAAAAUCAAGGCUGAGGCGUGAUGACGAGGCACUACGGUGCUGAAGCAACAAAUGCCCUGCUUCCAGGAAAAGCCUCUAAGCAUCAGGUAACAUCAAAUCGUACCCCAAACCGACACAGGUGGUCAGGUAGAGAAUACCAAGGCGCUUGAGAGAACUCGGGUGAAGGAACUAGGCAAAAUGGUGCCGUAACUUCGGGAGAAGGCACGCUGAUAUGUAGGUGAAGUCCCUCGCGGAUGGAGCUGAAAUCAGUCGAAGAUACCAGCUGGCUGCAACUGUUUAUUAAAAACACAGCACUGUGCAAACACGAAAGUGGACGUAUACGGUGUGACGCCUGCCCGGUGCCGGAAGGUUAAUUGAUGGGGUCAGCGCAAGCGAAGCUCUUGAUCGAAGCCCCGGUAAACGGCGGCCGUAACUAUAACGGUCCUAAGGUAGCGAAAUUCCUUGUCGGGUAAGUUCCGACCUGCACGAAUGGCGUAAUGAUGGCCAGGCUGUCUCCACCCGAGACUCAGUGAAAUUGAACUCGCUGUGAAGAUGCAGUGUACCCGCGGCAAGACGGAAAGACCCCGUGAACCUUUACUAUAGCUUGACACUGAACAUUGAGCCUUGAUGUGUAGGAUAGGUGGGAGGCUUUGAAGUGUGGACGCCAGUCUGCAUGGAGCCGACCUUGAAAUACCACCCUUUAAUGUUUGAUGUUCUAACGUUGACCCGUAAUCCGGGUUGCGGACAGUGUCUGGUGGGUAGUUUGACUGGGGCGGUCUCCUCCUAAAGAGUAACGGAGGAGCACGAAGGUUGGCUAAUCCUGGUCGGACAUCAGGAGGUUAGUGCAAUGGCAUAAGCCAGCUUGACUGCGAGCGUGACGGCGCGAGCAGGUGCGAAAGCAGGUCAUAGUGAUCCGGUGGUUCUGAAUGGAAGGGCCAUCGCUCAACGGAUAAAAGGUACUCCGGGGAUAACAGGCUGAUACCGCCCAAGAGUUCAUAUCGACGGCGGUGUUUGGCACCUCGAUGUCGGCUCAUCACAUCCUGGGGCUGAAGUAGGUCCCAAGGGUAUGGCUGUUCGCCAUUUAAAGUGGUACGCGAGCUGGGUUUAGAACGUCGUGAGACAGUUCGGUCCCUAUCUGCCGUGGGCGCUGGAGAACUGAGGGGGGCUGCUCCUAGUACGAGAGGACCGGAGUGGACGCAUCACUGGUGUUCGGGUUGUCAUGCCAAUGGCACUGCCCGGUAGCUAAAUGCGGAAGAGAUAAGUGCUGAAAGCAUCUAAGCACGAAACUUGCCCCGAGAUGAGUUCUCCCUGACUCCUUGAGAGUCCUGAAGGAACGUUGAAGACGACGACGUUGAUAGGCCGGGUGUGUAAGCGCAGCGAUGCGUUGAGCUAACCGGUACUAAUGAACCGUGAGGCUUAACCUUACAACGCCGAAGGUGUUU